rnacentral:rRNA from 1 species
GUGCAGCAGUCGAGAAUCCUCCGCAAUACACGAAAGUGUGACGGGGUUACCCAAAGUGUCCAAAUUUGGACUGUGGUAGGUGAGUAAUGUCCCCUACUAGAAAGGAGAGGGCAAGGCUGGUGCCAGCCGCCGCGGUAAAACCAGCUCUUCAAGUGGUCGGGAUAAUUAUUGGGCUUAAAGUGUCCGUAGCCGGUUUAGUAAGUUCCUGGUAAAAUCGGGUAGCUUAACUAUCUGUAUGCUAGGAAUACUGCUAUACUAGAGGGCGGGAGAGGUCUGAGGUACUACAGGGGUAGGGGUGAAAUCCUGUAAUCCUUGUAGGACCACCAGUGGCGAAGGCGUCAGACUGGAACGCGCCUGACGGUGAGGGACGAAAGCCAGGGGAGCGAACCGGAUUAGAUACCCCUGUAGU